rnacentral:tRNA from 1 species
ACUCAGGGGUAGAGUGUAGGGUUUGCAAGCCUGUGUUCCUGGGUUCAAGCCCCAG